rnacentral:rRNA from 1 species
CCCGCACAAGCGGUGGAGUAUGUGGUUUAAUUCGAUGCAACGCGAAGAACCUUACCUGGUCUUGACAUCCCGGAGACCCUUAGGAAACUAGGGGGUGCUUCCAUCUGGAAGAAUCUGGAGACAGGUGCUGCAUGGCUGUCGUCAGCUCGUGUCGUGAGAUGUUGGGUUAAGUCCCGCAACGAGCGCAACCCUUGCCUUUAGUUGCCAGCAGUUCGGCUGGGCACUCUAAAGGGACUGCCGGUGUUAAACCGGAGGAAGGUGGGGAUGACGUCAAGUCCUCAUGGCCUUUAUGACCAGGGCUACACACGUACUACAAUGGCCGAUACAAAGGGCAGCGACACUGCGAAGUGAAGCCAAUCCCGUAAAAUCGGUCUCAGUCCGGAUUGGAGUCUGCAACUCGACUCCAUGAAGUUGGAAUCGCUAGUAAUCGUGGAUCAGCAUGCCACGGUGAAUACGUUCCCGGGCCUU